rnacentral:rRNA from 1 species
GUUAGGAAUCUUCCACAAUGGGGGCAACCCUGAUGGAGCAACACCGCGUGCUGGAUGAAGGCCUUCGGGUCGUAAACAGCUUUUGUAUACGAAGAAUAUGACGGUAAUAUACGAAUAAGGGUCGGCUAACUACGUGCCAGCAGCCGCGGUCAUACGUAGGACCCAAGCGUUAUCCGGAGUGACUGGGCGUAAAGAGUUGCGUAGGCGGCUUAUUAAGCGAGUAGUGAAAUCUGGUGGCUCAACCAUCAACACAUUGCUCGAACUGAUAGGCUUGAGAAUGGUAGAGGUAGUUGGAAUUUCUUGUGUAGGAGUGAAAUCCGUAGAUAUAAGAAGGAACACCAAUGGCGUAGGCAGACUACUGGACCAUUUCUGACGCUGAGGCACGAAAGCGUGGGGAGCGAACCGGAUUAGAAACCCUUGUAGUCC